rnacentral:rRNA from 1 species
AUGAACGCUGGCGGCGUGCCUAAUCCUUGCAAGUCGAGCGAACAGAUGAGGAGCUUGCUCCUCUGACGUUAGCGGCGGCCGGGUGAGUAACACGUGGAUAACCUACCUAUAAGACUGGGAUAACUUCGGGAAACCGGAGCUAAUACCGGAUAAUAUAUUGAACCGCAUGGUUCAAUAGUGAAAGACGGUUUUGCUGUCACUUAUAGAUGGAUCCGCGCCGCAUUAGCUAGUUGGUAAGGUAACGGCUUACCAAGGCAACGAUGCGUAGCCGACCUGAGAGGGUGAUCGGCCACACUGGAACUGAGACACGGUCCAGACUCCUACGGGAGGCAGCAGUAGGGAAUCUUCCGCAAUGGGCGAAAGCCUGACGGAGCAACGCCGCGUGAGUGAUGAAGGUCUUCGGAGCGUAAAACUCUGUUAUUAGGGAAGAACAAAUGUGUAAGUAACUAUGCACGUCUUGACGGUACCUAAUCAGAAAGCCACGGCUAACUACGUG